ensembl:lncRNA
CCGCUGUUCUGUGUGGAGUCAGACACGCCCGCUUUACGUUAGUCCGGGAACCAUGGCAAUGACAGUUGGUUAGCUAGCGUGUCGCCGCUGUUCUGUGUGGAGUCAGACACGCCCGCUUUACGUUAGUCCGGGAACCAUGGCAAUGACAGUUGGUUAGCUAGCGUGUCGCCGCUUAGAAAAGGUCUGACUGCACGAACGUUCACUGUUGCAGUGCUGCCUUUGGGAGCAUGUGGUCCUUGAAACACUUCUCUAGUCCAGCAAUAUGAGUGUGCCAGAGGUCGUCACGCUGGACGGGAGGCUGUGGUGGUCCACGAUAACGAAGGAGCAGGUGUCCCUUCCAGUGAUGUGGAACUGACCUUGGACUUGGACCUGGUGCCAGGAAGGAUGGUCUUCACAGAGGCAGUAAGACCUUCCCUCCGCUUGGAUAUAGAAAUCAUUCGACCUCCUCUUCAAUGGUCAGGUCCCUUUUAGGCACCAUAGGAACACUUGACCUCCACCACCAGACCAUCCGGUGAGGCACCCAGGAUCCCAGACCGUUUGGUGAGGGGCACCCAGGAUCCCAGACCGUCCGGUGAGGCACCCAGGAUCCCAGACCGUUCGGUGAGAGGCACCCAGGAUCCCAGACCGUUCGGUGAGGGGCACCCAGGAUCCCAGACCAUCCGUUGAGGCACCCAGGAUCCCAGACCAUCCGGUGAGGCACCCAGGAUCCCAGACCAUCCGUUCGAUGAGGGGCACCCAGGAUCCCAGACCAUCCGUUGAGGCACCCAGGAUCCCGGACCGUCCGGUGAAGCACCCAGGAUCCCAGACCGUUCGGUGAGGGGCACCCAGGAUCCCAGACCGUUCGGUGAGGCACCCAGGAUCCCAGACCGUCCGGUGAGGCACCCAGACCGUCUGGUGAGGGGCACCCAGGAUCCCGGACCGUCUGGUGAAUUUCACCCAGGAUCCCAGACCGUCUGGUGAAUUUCACCCAGGACCCCAGACCGUCUGGUGAAGGGCACCCAGGAUCCCCUCCCUCUUUGUCAUCUGUCCCCCACAUUAUAGACAGUUUGUUUCCCAUAAACUUUUAAUUCAUAACUUUGGAUUUUUUACCACUUGCCAUAUCAAUCAUAAUAGUGGGAAGGAGCCUACAGAUCCAGACUGUGUGAGGGCAUGUACCACUCAGAAUAAAUAAAUACUGUUCCUUUGAA